GCCUGGUUGGCUUAGUUGGUAGAGCAUGUGACUCUUGAUCUUGGGGCUGUGAGUUUGAGCCCCACAUUGGGCA
rnacentral:tRNA from 1 species